AGAUAUGUACUUUAGACUUUUGAAGAUCCAAUUCAUCCUGCAUCUUCUCACACUCAUCUUCAUGCUGAAGCUGCAAACCUGUCAGCUCAGCUUCAAGUUCGCUCCUCAUUGAAGUUAUUUUCUAUGAAAAUGAUAAACUGGUUUGUAACGUAAGCAUAUAACACUCUAGUUAAAUUAGUAGUUCCAACUUAAUUCAAAGCUAAAAACGACAUUAAUGACCACAAUUUAAGAAUCCAGAAACAGCCCAAACUAACAACACACACAGAGGACAGACACUGAAAGACAUAUUUUUUUAGAGAACCUAACUAAAAAUUAAAAACAAACCAAGUAAAAUUUUCAGAGUUUAAAAACAGGAAACCAUUACAAUCUUUACAGAAACCAACUAAAAUUGGAAUCUGAAAAAAAAUCCGCUCAAUUUUAACAGCCCUGCUGCAUAUAUUGGGUUUUUUUAGGCAUGAGACAACACAAACGAAGAAAACAUAACAUAGUUGUAAACCUUAGGCUCCAAUCAGGUCAAGUGUGAGAUUUCAAACACGGAGAUUUACUCCAUGUUUAAAAACUGCCAAAUACAUUGCCAACUGUUAAGAGUAUGAACUACAAAUCUAUAAAGUAAAAAGACUUGCAGAUAAGUUUAAACAAUCAACAUUCAACUUAUGAUUGUUACUGUUUUUUAGCUGGAUGUUCACAUUCUAAUAAGGUAUUAAAAGAGAUUAUAAGCGUGUGUGCUCUUAAACCACCCAACACCAUGUAUUAAUCAAAUAAUUAACAUCUAAAGAUGGAGACAUGAAACACGAAACCUGCAAUUAGAUCCCAAUCACAAAAUGCCAAAAAAAUCCUAAUCUAACCAUCCCUAUACUAAUAGCCCAUUCGAGCAGCUAUUAGCACCUAACCCGCUACUUUGGCAACCCACCAACCCGCCACACCGUCAUGUCCCAUCCCCUCUCCACCACUCACUAUAUCUCUCACCUUUCUUUCUUGACAUUUCGCUCGGUGCACACAAACACCAAGCCAACCAUUGCCGGCCUUUGUCUAAAAGUGGACAAAAUCCCAUAGGUCCUGGCAGAGGACCUAGCUAAAUCUCUCUCCCACUCAGUCGAAACCCGUAGCUACCAUUUCUCUCCAAUCUGUCAGUCUCUCUGUCCCCCUCUUCUCCUCCCCCCAACAACCCUCUGACCGAUGCAUCACCCACAGCCACACCCACCCGCACCCGAGUCAAAAAUCCCAACGAUCCUCUCCCUCCAACCCGUCAACAAAUUAUGGAUUCCGAGAAUGUAUCUUGAAAACUCAGAUGCACAUGAUUAAAAUUAGUAGAUAUUAAGGACGUGUACUUAACAGAACAACACGAAGAACGAAUGAGUACAUUACAAACUAAAUGACCGUGUCAGCUAGAUACUUCUUAAAGAACACCUCUAAUCUACCAGUAUGAUUACUCAGUUUUUGGUUUUUAAAUUAAUACCCUAAACCUUACAUUCAAACUCAUUUCGAAUGCAAACAAAAGUAAAUGAUAAGUCCCGAGCUUUUCUUUCUAGCCUCAACUCAACUCAAGUUCCCAACCUUCACCUUCCAAUACAAAGAAACUAACGCAUCAAUCUGCAAUUUCGCAAACAUAUAAUUCAACUAACCAAGUUCUGUGUCCACUCAAAUGCACAUAUUUGAGCUCAAUCAAACUUAAAUUUGAAACAAAUAGUGAUGAAAGAUCAAACAUUUAUACCUAGCUUAGGAUCCGAACCAAUCUCCUCUUUCGCCUCCCUCGUCGCCGUGUCCCCAUCGUCCUUGUCCCCCUCCUCUGUUUUCCCACCCGGCAAAGAAACUUCACCUGCAGAAACACAAAACCAAAAAUUAAAAAACCAAUCUUUCCCAUUUCCAUUUUUAUCAAUUUCCUCAAUUUUUCCCAUUUCCAGAAAAAUGAGCAAGAAGCUUAAGCAGGAAAAAAAUCAUAAUUUCAACAACCAAAACCCAAUACCCGUUUAAUCAUACACGAACGAAAAAUCUAAACACAGAGUCACAGAUUAACGAACUGAAAACCCAAAAAAAAUAAAGGAAACUGACCUUACUUAAGAACAAUACAUAGAACACAGAGAAACGAAACAAAUAAAGGAACCCCCAAAACCAAAUAAAGGAACCCUCAAAACCUGACCUAACAGUGCAACAAAAUCUGGAAAUAAUUCACAGCAAAAAGGCAGAAAUGAUGACAAUCUAUGCUAACAGUAAAGAAUCGAAUUAAAAAUUGAACUUAGCUUUUGAAAUCCAGCCACUCAUCCGACAUGCAAAAGGGAACGGAUGAUCGAGAGUGAAUCAUGGACUGAGGGACCUUACUCGACCCAUCAUUGGAGCUACGUUUGUAGCUUUUGGGGAGAAAAAAAUUGAAUGUGAAAGCUGCUUUUGAUGUGGCCAUUAAGGUGGUGCUUCAGC
rnacentral:lncRNA from 1 species